AUUGAACGCUAGCGGGAUGCUUAACACAUGCAAGUCGAACGAGUGGCGGACGGGUGAGUAAUAUAUGGGAAAGUGCCCGGUAGAGGGGGAUAACUACUGGAAAGGGUGGCUAAUACCGCAUACUAUAGGAGGGGCCGAGAUGGGAUUAGCUAGUAGGUGGGGUAAAGGCUCACCAAGGCAACGAUCCCUAGCUGGUUUGAGAGGAUGACCAGCCACACUGGAACUGAGACACGGCCCAGACUCCUACGGGAGGCAGCAGUGGGGAAUAUUGCGCAAUGGGCGCAAGCCUGAUGCAGCCAUGCCGCGUGUAUGAAGAAGGCCUUCGGGUUGUAAAGUACUUUUAGCGAGGAGGCGUUACUCGCAGAAUAAGCACCGGCUAACUCCGUGCCAGCAGCCGCGGUAAUAC
rnacentral:rRNA from 1 species